rnacentral:rRNA from 1 species
GGGUUGUGAGGUUAAGCGACUAAGCGUACACGGUGGAUGCCUAGGCAAUCAGAGGCGAUGAAGGACGUGCUAAUCUGCGAAAAGCGUCGGUAAGGUGAUAUGAACCGUUAUAACCGACGAUGUCCGAAUGGGGAAACCCAGUGCAAUUCGUUGCACUAUCGUUUGAUGAAUCCAUAGUCAAACGAGGCGAACCGGGGGAACUGAAACAUCUCAGUACCCCGAGGAAAAGAAAUCAACCGAGAUUCCCCUAGUAGCGGCGAGCGAACGGGGAGCAGCCCAGAGUCUUAAUCAGCAUCAGCAUCAGGAGAACGGUCUGGAAAGGCCGGCAAUAAAGGGUGAUAGCCCCGUAUCCGAAGGUGUUGGUGUUGUGAACUCGACGAGUAGGGCGGGACACGUGUUAUCCUGUCUGAAUAUGGGGGGACCAUCCUCCAAGGCUAAAUACUCCUGAUUGACCGAUAGUGAACCAGUACCGUGAGGGAAAGGCGAAAAGAACCCCGGCGAGGGGAGUGAAAUAGAACCUGAAACCGUGUACGUACAAGCAGUGGGAGCCUUGAUUUAUCAGGGUGACUGCGUACCUUUUGUAUAAUGGGUCAGCGACUUAUAUUCUGUAGCAAGGUUAACCGAAUAGGGGAGCCGUAGGGAAACCGAGUCUUAACUGGGCGAAUGAGUUGCAGGGUAUAGACCCGAAACCCGGUGAUCUAGCCAUGGGCAGGUUGAAGGUUGGGUAACACUAACUGGAGGACCGAACCGACUAAUGUUGAAAAAUUAGCGGAUGACUUGUGGCUGGGGGUGAAAGGCCAAUCAAACCGGGAGAUAGCUGGUUCUCCCCGAAAGCUAUUUAGGUAGCGCCUCGUGAACUCAUCUUCGGGGGUAGAGCACUGUUUCGGCUAGGGGGUCAUCCCGACUUACCAACCCGAUGCAAACUACGAAUACCGAAGAAUGUUAUCACGGGAGACACACGGCGGGUGCUAACGUUCGUCGUGAAGAGGGAAACAACCCAGACCGCCAGCUAAGGUCCCAAAGUCAUGGUUAAGUGGGAAACGAAGUGGGAAGGCUCAGACAGCCAGGAUGUUGGCUUAGAAGCAGCCAUCAUUUAAAGAAAGCGUAAUAGCUCACUGGUCGAGUCGGCCUGCGCGGAAGAUGUAACGGGGCUAAACCAUGCACCGAAGCUGCGGCAGCGACAUUUAGAUGUUGUUGGGUAGGGGAGCGUUCUGUAAGCCUGUGAAGGUGUGCUGCGAGGCAUGCUGGAGGUAUCAGAAGUGCGAAUGCUGACAUAAGUAACGAUAAUGCGGGUGAAAAACCCGCACGCCGGAAGACCAAGGGUUCCUGUCCAACGUUAAUCGGGGCAGGGUGAGUCGACCCCUAAGGCGAGGCAGAAAUGCGUAGUCGAUGGGAAACAGGUUAAUAUUCCUGUACUGGUGAUAAUUGCGAUGGGGGGACGGAGAAGGCUAGGCUGGCCGGGCGACGGUUGUCCCGGUUUAAGGAUGUAGGUGGGCGAAUUAGGCAAAUCCGGUUCGCUAUACACUGAGGUCUGAUGACGAGUCACUACGGUGGCGAAGUAGCUCAUGCCCCGCUUCCAGGAAAAGCCUCUAAGCUCUAGAUUAUCAUUAAUCGUACCCCAAACCGACACAGGUGGUCAGGUAGAGAAUACUCAGGCGCUUGAGAGAACUCGGGUGAAGGAACUAGGCAAAAUGGUGCCGUAACUUCGGGAGAAGGCACGCUGGCACUAGGUGAAGUGGUUUACCCAUGGAGCCGAAGCCAGUCGCAGAUACCAGCUGGCUGCAACUGUUUAUUAAAAACACAGCACUGUGCAAACACGAAAGUGGACGUAUACGGUGUGACGCCUGCCCGGUGCUGGAAGGUUAAUUGAUGGGGUUAUCCGUAAGGAGAAGCUCUUGAUCGAAGCCCCAGUAAACGGCGGCCGUAACUAUAACGGUCCUAAGGUAGCGAAAUUCCUUGUCGGGUAAGUUCCGACCUGCACGAAUGGCGUAAUGAUGGCCAGGCUGUCUCCACCCGAGACUCAGUGAAAUUGAACUCGCUGUGAAGAUGCAGUGUACCCGCGGCAAGACGGAAAGACCCCGUGAACCUUUACUAUAGCUUGACACUGAACAUUGAGCCUUGAUGUGUAGGAUAGGUGGGAGGCUUUGAAGUGUGGACGCCAGUCUGCAUGGAGCCAACCUUGAAAUACCACCCUUUAAUGUUUGAUGUUCUAACGUAGCCCCAUAAUCUGGGGUGCGGACAGUGUCUGGUGGGUAGUUUGACUGGGGCGGUCUCCUCCCAAAGCGUAACGGAGGAGCACGAAGGUUGGCUAAGCAUGGUCGGACAUCAUGCGGUUAGUGCAAAGGCAUAAGCCAGCUUGACUGCGAGAGUGACGGCUCGAGCAGGUACGAAAGUAGGUCUUAGUGAUCCGGUGGUUCUGAAUGGAAGGGCCAUCGCUCAACGGAUAAAAGGUACUCCGGGGAUAACAGGCUGAUACCGCCCAAGAGUUCAUAUCGACGGCGGUGUUUGGCACCUCGAUGUCGGCUCAUCACAUCCUGGGGCUGAAGUAGGUCCCAAGGGUAUGGCUGUUCGCCAUUUAAAGUGGUACGCGAGCUGGGUUUAGAACGUCGUGAGACAGUUCGGUCCCUAUCUGCCGUGGGCGUUGGAAGAUUGAAAGGGGCUGCUCCUAGUACGAGAGGACCGGAGUGGACGCACCGCUGGUGUUCGGGUUGUCAUGCCAAUGGCACUGCCCGGUAGCUAAGUGCGGAAGAGAUAACCGCUGAAAGCAUCUAAGCGGGAAACUUGCCUUGAGAUGAGUCUUCCCUGACCCUCUAAGGGUCCUAAAGGAACGUUUAAGACGAAGACGUUGAUAGGCUGGGUGUGUAAGCGUAGCGAUACGUUGAGCUAACCAGUACUAAUGAACCGUGAGGCUUAACCUGACAACACCGAAGGUGUUUUAG